rnacentral:rRNA from 1 species
AGAGUUUGAUCCUGGCUCAGAUUGAACGCUGGCGGCAUGCCUAACACAUGCAAGUCGAACGGUAACGCGGGGGCAACCCUGGCGACGAGUGGCGGACGGGUGAGUAAUACGUAGGAAUCUGCCCAUUUGUGGGGGAUAACCCGGCGAAAGCCGGGCUAAUACCGCAUACGCUCUACGGAGGAAAGCGGGGGAUCGCAAGACCUCGCGCUAAUGGAUGAGCCUACGUCGGAUUAGCUAGUUGGUAGGGUAACGGCCUACCAAGGCGACGAUCCGUAGCUGGUCUGAGAGGACGAUCAGCCACACUGGGACUGAGACACGGCCCAGACUCCUACGGGAGGCAGCAGUGGGGAAUAUUGGACAAUGGGGGAAACCCUGAUCCAGCAAUGCCGCGUGUGUGAAGAAGGCCUGCGGGUUGUAAAGCACUUUCAGAGGGGAAGAAAAAAUCGGAUCUAACACGUCCGAGCUUGACGUUACCCUUAGAAGAAGCACCGGCUAACUCCGUGCCAGNCAGCCGCGGUAAUACGGAGGGGUGCAAGCGUUAAUCGGAAUUACUGGGCGUAAAGCGCACGCAGGUGGCUGANUCAGUCGAUUGUGAAGGCCCUGGGCUUACCCUAGGAAUUGCAGUCGAUACUACUCGGCUAGAGUAUGGGAGAGGGCAGUGGAAUUCCCNGGU